rnacentral:rRNA from 1 species
GCCGCGUGAGUGAUGAAGGCCUUCGGGUUGUAAAGCUCUUUCGACCGGGACGAUAAUGACGGUACCCGUAGAAUAAGCCCCGGCUAACUUCGUGCCAGCAGCCGCGGUAAUACGAAGGGGGCUAGCGUUGUUCGGAAUUACUGGGCGUAAAGGGCGCGUAGGCGGUUUGGUAAGUCAGGUGUGAAAUCCCCGGGCUCAACUCGGGGGCUGCACCCGAGACUGCCGCGCUUGAGUGCGGGAGAGGUGAGUGGAAUUCCCGGUGUAGAGGUGAAAUGCGUAUAUAUUGGGAAGAACACCAGUGGCGAAAGCGGCUAGCUGGACCGUUACUGACGCUGAGGCGCGAAAGCGUGGGGAGCAAACAGGAUUA